CAAAAUUCUAAUUGUAUAUUUCCAACAGCUUUCCGUUGUGUGCUAAAUAACAACGGAUUUUAUACAAUCGCGACAGCUUACUGUAGUCGUAAUUCGGAUAUAUAAAUUACUACAACAAAGCUUGCACAAGUAGUGUGUUUAAUUCCUUCGGCUUAUUAGUACGUACUAUUGCAAUGAUGGUUGAAGAAGACGCUCAACAACAGAUGCAAAACAAUACAUAUCUUGAUGAACUUCAAGCCGAAGUUACAUCACUUUCUCCCUCUUCUCAUGCUGCUCGAUUAAUAACAGAAGAAAUCUGUUCUUUAGAAAUAGAAAGAGUUCAAUCAGGGAAUGCACCAGCUGGUUCACAAAAAGAUGAAAAAAAUAUACCAUGUUUUGAAAUACACACUGGAAAACCAUACAAACACUCGUGUAAAAUCAAGAUUCCUGUUAAAGAAUUUCCCAAGUUCAAUUUUGUGGGAAAGUUAUUAGGACCAAAAGGUAAUUCGUUAAAAAGACUACAGGAAGAAACAAUGACAAAAAUGUCUAUACUUGGUAAAGGUUCAAUGAGAGACAAAGAUAAGGAAGAUGAGCUAAGAAAGAAAGGUGGAAAAUAUACCCACUUAAAUGAAGAUCUUCAUGUUCUGGUAGAAGUUUAUGCAGAAGCAUCAGAUGCAUAUCAAAGAAUGGCACAUGCUUUCACUGAAUUACAGAAGUAUUUAAUUCCGAAUGAUUACAAUGAUGAAAUCCGUCAACAGCAACUUCAAGAAUUGAUGUAUUUAAAUGGUAGCGAUGGUGGUCGUGGUCGAGGUCGUGGCAGAGGUGCUCCCGGACAGACGCCCCGAGGGGCACCACGGGGUGGUCUUCUAACGUCUCCUGCUGGAAGAGGUGGUCCCGCUGGCAGGGGUGGUGCUAUUCCACCUCCUACGAGGGGUGCUCCCGCAGGACGUGGUACACCCCCAUCAAGAGGUGGUCCACCAAGAGGGGGUAUGGCGGCUGGCAGAGGUCGGGCAGCACCUGCUCCACAAGUGCCACCACCCAUGGAACAAAGCUAUGAUGACUAUGGAUACGAUCAAAGUUAUAAUGAAGGUUAUGGAGAUCAAAGUGGUUAUGAAGGUGGUUAUGGUGAUCAGUCAUAUGGCCAAGUGGAUUCACAAUAUUACGAUUACGGCGCUGGGGGACAAUAUGAUGAGGGAUAUGGUGAUGGUGGCUGGGGCUCAAAUGUUGGACAGAUGAAGGCCCCACCACCUACUAGAGGUGCAAAGGGACAAUACAGAAGUCAUCCAUAUGGAGGUAGAGGCGGAGGUUACUAAAAACUAGCCCUGGUCAAAACCUAACCCUGCUGCACUGGUCGUAUUCGCUGUCUUCGUCCAGUCUCCAUCCACUUAAGCCGAGUGGCUUUGACCAACUGAUGCCAAUCUCAGUUGUGGCCCACAGAAGAAUGACAAGCAUGUGAGCAAGGAGGUACAAAAAUCAUGACUUCAUGCACCAUAUUUCACUCUUCCAUAUCACCCCAACACUUAAUAAGUGGGACAUUUUCAUUGAAUUUUGGUCUCCUUUCAUCCAUUUUAUUGUCACUCUGUGACACAGAACUGGCAAGGACCUAACAAGGCUUUUUAAGUAUUUUAACUCUUAAACCCAAACUACAUCGACCACGUUCUCCUCAUUGUCAGUAUCCAUGUAGUACAAAAUGAUUUUAGUGAUGUUUUGUCACCUCAUGCUUCCGUGCUGCCAAAUGUAGAUUUUAAUCUUUGUCAAAAAUUUUAAAAUAAAAAAAAUAUAUAUAUAUAUGUAUAUAUUUAUAUAUAUGCAUAUAUAUAUAAAUAUAUAAAAAAAUAUCAAGUUUUAAACUAGUUUUAGAAGUCAGCCUUUUGUUUUUUCUGCUGGACACCUAAAAAGCUUAAUGAGUCUGAUUAGAUUCUUCAACUUUGAAAAAUGUAAGUAAAACUGAAUCAACUAUGAGUAUCAAUAGUUGGUAAUGCCACAAUAUUAGUAAAUGUUGUGGCGGUUAAAACCCAGUAACUUGAAUUAUUUAAAAAAGUUAAAAAUAAAAUAAUAAAAAAAAUACAUAAAAUUCAGUCUAAAAUUACUCUGGUCCGUUGUUUAUUUCAACUUGCUAAAAAUCUCCUCCAGGACCUAAAUGGAGACUGGGCACAUACAAUGCAUUUUAAAACUUAGUAAAACUACCAAACUAGUUCUAAAUAGCUUAAGGAUAGAGCCACUAGAUAUCCAAACUGUUGUAAAUCAAUUUCAAAUGCUGCUAAACAAAUUAUCAGGUUGAGGAAAAAUAUAUGUAUAUAUAUAAUAAUAACAACAACAAUAAUAAUAAUAAUAAUCUUUAGGCAAUUUUUUAAAGAUGCAGCAAAUUUUGAUAUUAUUGUACAACCCUAAAUAAAUUAAUCCAGGCACAUAAAACUAACCAAACAAAAACAAUACAAAACAAAGAAAAAAAGUCUUAAACGUAACAGGCUUCUAUCCUUAAGGCUUGUAUGUGCUCACUAAAAAGAUAGAGGCUAGCUGCUAAUAUGUCGAUAUUAGCACUUAUCCUGGUUUAUAUUGAAAUUCAGUGAAAAAAAUGUACAAAUGUUAAUGUUGUCGCACUUGUAGUACAUCAGCAGGGAUUGUAUAAGUUUUUGUACAAGUACUCAAGUUUCUGGCAUUUAUUGCCAGUAAAAUUCUACUACUACUACUACUACUACUACUACUACUACUACAAUUUGGACGGCUACUGAGACUCCAGGGAAAAACAAAGACACAGGAAAUGUGAUAUCAGCACUUAAGGUAUCUUUACUGCUUGAUCGAGGAAUCCCAAUCCAUAGUAAUGCCAGAUAUCACUUGAGACCUGAUCUUAAAACGUCCAAGAUGGGAAGCCUGUGAUUUUUGUAUUUUACUGUAUUUUUAAAAGUAUUUUUAAAAAAAAUAAACUAUUUUUCUAUAAAAAAAU